rnacentral:rRNA from 1 species
GAUGAACGCUGGCGGCGUGCCUAAUACAUGCAAGUCGAGCGAACAGACGAGGAGCUUGCUCCUCUGACGUUAGCGGCGGACGGGUGAGUAACACGUGGAUAACCUACCUAUAAGACUGGGAUAACUUCGGGAAACCGGAGCUAAUACCUGAUAAUAUAUUUAACCGCAUGGUUCAAUAGUGAAAGACGGUUUUGCUGUCACUUAUAGAUGGAUCCGCGCCGCAUUAGCUAGUUGGUAAGGUAACGGCUUACCAAGGCAACGAUGCGUAGCCGACCUGAGAGGGUGAUCGGCCACACUGGAACUGAGACACGGUCCAGACUCCUACGGGAGGCAGCAGUAGGGAAUCUUCCGCAAUGGGCGAAAGCCUGACGGAGCAACGCCGCGUGAGUGAUGAAGGUAUUCGGAUCGUAAAACUCUGUUAUUAGGGAAGAACAAAUGUGUAAGUAACUAUGCACGUCUUGACGGUACCUAAUCAGAAAGCCACGGCUAACUACGUG